UGAUCCAAAAGGUUCAAUCUAAUUCCAGUGUGUUCAGUGAUCGAGGUAUGACAUAAUAAUUUAGUUGAGGACAAUAUUAAUAUUGCCAGAUAUAGGAAUCACACCUUGGAAAUAACUAGGGACUCGGAAGCAGUAUGGCUCAAAUUUCUUGAUCAGUCCUUGGAAUUCUCAUUGCUACUGAUUUUUUUUUGUUGAACAUUUUUCUUAAUCCAAGAUAGAAGGAACUCUAAAAUUAAACAAUUAAUAUGAAAAAAAGAAUUGAUAAUUACGUUAUAUAUAUAAAACUAUUCUUGAGACCUUCAUCUAUAAGUUUGAGCUUUUAGGUUGAAUGGUGUCUCGACGUGGUAUUAGAGUGGUAAAGGCUCAGUGGCCAUAGAUCUAGAUCCAAAAACAUGUGGGUUGAGCCACAACGAGCCAAACCUCAUGAACUCAGCUAAUCGAGCUAGACUUAGGUGGAUCCAUGGGCUA
rnacentral:misc_RNA from 1 species